rnacentral:lncRNA from 1 species
UCCCUCAUAGCAUGACUUACAACACACUCCAGGUGGAUAGAUGAAUGGUGGAUACCCUGUUACUGGAGUUGGCACCGGUACCUUUGGCUUGUCAGCUUGAGGAUUUGGUUUGUCAGCUGGAGGUUUUGGUUUGUCAGCUGGAGGUUCUGGCUUGUCAGCUGGAGGUUUUGGCUUGUCAGCUGGAGGUUUUGGUUUGUCAGCUGGAGGUUUUGGCUUUUCUGCUGGGGGUUUAGGUUUCUCGGGUGCUCUAACCUCAAUACUGUGGAUGAUUUUGCCACCUUUGCAGAUAAGCUUCGUUUUGAUCUUCUCAGGGCAGCAGCAUACUACUUUGAUCAUCACUGCGUUGUCCUUCUCAUGGAAAGCAUACUCUUUUAUUUCUCUUGUUC